UGACUCUGCUGAUUUGCAUCACAGGCUGCUCUCUUCAGCAAGGGAAUAAGAGAGGCCUGGGAGGAACCUGCCCAGCCUGGGCCUCAGGAAGCAGCAUCGGGGGUGCCUAAGCCAUGGCCUGGACCGCUCUCCUUCUGAGCCUCCUCGCUCACUUUACAGGCUCUGUGGCCUCCUAUGAGCUGACUCAGCCACUCUCAGUGUCAGUGGCCCUGGGACAGAUGGCCAGGAUCACUUGUGGGGGAAACAAUAUUGGAAGAAAAUAUGUGUACUGGUACCAGCAGAAGCCAGACCAGGCCCCUGUGCUGGUCAUCUAUGAGGAUAGCAAGCGGCCCUCUGGGAUCCCUGAGCGAUUCUCUGGCUCCAACUCGGGGAACAUGGCCACCCUGACCAUCGAUGGAGCCCAAGCCAGGGAUGAGGCUGACUAUUACUGUCAGGUGUGGGACAGCAGCACUGCACACAGUGACACAGGCAGAUGAGGAAGUGAGACACAAACCCUUUCCCCAUCUGUGUCACCCUCUUUCUCUAAUUCCAGGAGUACUAUGAACAAAGCCAUAAGCGGAUCUGGUUCAAUUUUCUUCAAUCUCUGCCCCCAGCCUGUCCCUCCCUCCAGUGCUUCAGGCGGGGUCUGCAGAAAGUGCAUCAGAAGUUCAUUUAGGGUGAUGUGAUGGACUGGCGUUUUGGUGACUCAGCUGUGACUUGGGAAAAUAGGGCCUGUAUGGAGUAUCAGACUGACGUAGACAUCCACAGUUGGCUCUGGAUUUCCAUAGGUGGUGACAGGCCAGUCCUUGCCCCAAAUGUCCUAGAUCAGUCCCCAGAACUGCUCAGCUCAGG